GCAGGUAUAGUUCAGUGGUAGAGUGCUUGCCUAUAGCAUGAGCAAGACUGUGGGUUCAAUACUCAGUACCACA
rnacentral:tRNA from 1 species